GACGUGACUUCAGAGUUUGAUCCUGGCUCAGGAUGAACGCUAGCGGCAGGCUUAACACAUGCAAGUCAGGGGCAGCAUGAUGAAACUUUCGAGUUUUCAUUGAUGGCGACCGGCGCAAGGGUGCGUAACGCGUGAGCAACUUGCCCUUAUCAGGGGGAUAACCGGUGGAAACGCCGACUAAUACCCCAUAGCAUCAAUUUUAAGGCAUCUUUUAUUGAUUAAAGAACUUCGGAUAAGGAUAGGCUCGCGUGACAUUAGCUAGAUGGCGGGGUAACGGCCCACCAUGGCGACGAUGUCUAGGGGUUCUGAGAGGAAGGUCCCCCACACUGGAACUGAGACACGGUCCAG
rnacentral:rRNA from 1 species